AGACCUAGCAAUAGGUAUGCUUAGGGAGGAGCUUGCGUCACAUUAGUUAGUUGGUGGGGUAAAGGCCUACCAAGACUAUGAUGUGUAGCCGGGCUGAGAGGUUGAACGGCCACAUUGGGACUGAGACACGGCCCAAACUCCUACGGGAGGCAGCAGUAGGGAAUUUUCGGCAAUGGAGGAAACUCUGACCGAGCAACGCCGCGUGAACGAUGAAGUAUUUCGGUACGUAAAGUUCUUUUAUUAGGGAAGAAUAAAUGAUGGAAAAAUCAUUCUGACGGUACCUAAUGAAUAAGCCCCGGCUAACUAUGUGCCAGCAGCCGCGGUAAUACAUAGGGGGCAAGCGUUAUCCGGAAUUAUUGGGCGUAAAGGGUGCGUAGGCGGUUAAAUAAGUGUAUGGUCGAAGUGCAAUGCUCAACAUUGUGAUGCUAUAAAAACUGUUUAGCUAGAGUAAGAUAGAGGCAAGUGGAAUUCCAUGUGUAGUGGUAAAAUGCGUAAAUAUAUGGAGGAACACCAGUAGCGAAGGCGGCUUGCUGGGUCUUUACUGACGCUGAGGCACGAAAGCGUGGGGAGCAAACAGGAUUAGAUACCCUGGUAGUCCACGCCGUAAACGAUGAGUACUAAACGUUGGGUAAAACCAGUGUUGAAGUUAACACAUUAAGUACUCCGCCUGAGUAGUACGUACGCAAGUAUGAAACUUAAAGGAAUUGACGGGACUCCGCACAAGCGGUGGAUCAUGUUGUUUAAUUUGAAGGUACCCGAAAAACCUCACCAGGUCUUGACAUGCUUCUGCAAAGCUGUAGAAACACAGUGGAGGUUAUCAGUUGCACAGGUGGUGCAUGGUUGUCGUCAGCUCGUGUCGUGAGAUGUUGGGUUAAGUCCCGCAACGAGCGCAACCCUUAUUGUUAGUUACCAGCACGUAAUGGUGGGGACUUUAGCAAGACUGCCAGUGAUAAAUUGGAGGAAGGUGGGGACGACGUCAAAUCAUCAUGCCCCUUAUGACCUGGGCUACAAACGUGAUACAAUGGCUGUUACAAAGGGUAGCUGAAGCGCAAGUUUUUGGCGAAUCUCAAAAAAACAGUCUCAGUUCGGAUUGAAGUCUGCAACUCGACUUCAUGAAGUUGGAAUCGCUAGUAAUCGCGAAUCAGCAUGUCGCGG
rnacentral:rRNA from 1 species